GAAAAGUUUUUGUUAUAGAAAAAGAAAUUGAUUUAAAGUUUUUUGUAUAUUUUAGCCGAUAUGAAUGACUUUUAAUUAAAAAGCAGUGUUGACAACGUUUUUAAAAAAAAUUUGGUUAAGAAAUUAAGUAUGUGAAAGCCAUAAAAAUAAGUAUGUGAAAGCCAUGGCGGGAUUUCUUAAAAAAAUAUGGAAAAAAAACGAUGUAAAAGAUGAAGAAGCCUUAAAAUCUACUAUUAACAUCAAAAGUGGUUCAUUAGGGUAUACAACACUGCAUGAUGCUGUUGAAUCUAAAAAACCUAAUGAUGUUAAGAGAUUACUUGAUUUAGGGGCAGAUGUAAAUUUGAUGGCAGAUGGUGGAUAUACACCACUGCAUCUAGCAGCAUAUAUAGAUGCAUGCAGCUGCAUUGAAGUACUACUUGAUUAUAAUGCUGACACAAAAUUAUGUAAUCAAGACAAACAAACACCUUAUGAAAUUGCAGUUUGUAACAAUUGCGUUAAUUCAGCUCAACUCCUACUAAGUCAUGAUAUUCUAACAUGUCUAAAGCAAAAACGCAAUUAUGAAUUUUUUAAAUACCUAAAAACAGUUGGUUGCAAGAGUGUUACUCCUGAUUGUUUUGAUAAAUGUCUAAAAUUAGCAGUUGAAGAAGACAACUUUGCUGUAAUAGGAAUUAUUUUGCUUCGGAAACCUCAUAAUGCAAAAGAAUGUUUGAUUGAUGCACUAAAAAAUGAAUUAUAUUCUAAAAGCACUCUUAUAUUGUUAUUAUGUUAUGCUGUUGAAAAACACUUUAAUGAUGUAAUCAAAGUAAUAUUUGAGAAUAAAGAUUUGGAGUCAAACAAAAAUCAAUUGGUAAAGUGCGACAUUCAAAUUUCUGCUAAAAGUUUGCAUCAUCUAAAAUCAUUUGUAAGCAAUGACAAAGUGUUUGCUUACCUAGUAAGCAUUGGAUGUAAUCAUAUGGUAAAAAAUUACAAAGGUGUUGAGUAUAUAUUAUUGAACAUGUUUUGCGAUAAUAAAAAUCUUAAAGCUUAUUGGAAAGGACUUCUGCUACGUUUUCUUCAUAAAGAUUGGUUUAAAAGUUUAAUAGGCUUUAAAUAUGUUAUCCUUUCUUGUAAUCAAAUUAAAAACAUACCAACUGGUGUAUUGAGUUAUCUUGAAGCUGUUGAAAUAUUAAAUCUUAGUUUAAAUAAUUUACAAGAGGUUCCCUCUGAAUUGUUUAGGCUUCCCAAACUUUACAGUCUAAAUCUUUCAUCAAAUCAAUUGAGACACCUGCCUGAUGUUAAAGAAUGGUCACCAUUUCUUACAACAUUAUUUCUUACAAAAAAUUUAUUGGAAACUUUCCCAUUGCAUGUAGAAGAACUUAAAUUAAAACACUUAUUUUUAUCAAAUAAUAGAUUAAAAUGUUUUCCUGAAAGUAUAUGUAACCUGAUAUGUUUAGAAACUCUUGAUAUUAGUCAAAAUGUUGAUAUAAACACCUUACCACAAAGCAUAGGAAACUUAUCAAAACUUACUCAAUUAGAUUUGAUUGGCUUAGAGAUUAAAAAUCUUCCACCUCAGUACAAAACUACAAAAGAUAUUUUGAAUUAUUUAAAAGGAAAACUACGACACUCAAAACCUUAUUAUAAAAUGAAACUAAUGAUUAUUGGGUUUCCACGACAAGGAAAGACAACUCUGCUUAAAAGACUUAAAGAUGACACUAAUUACAACAUGGAUCAAGCAACACACGGUAUUGAUAUCGAAGAGAUCACAAUUAAAAAAUCUUUAUCGAGAAAGGAGUUUAUUUUUCGAGUAUGGGAUUUUGCAGGACAAGAGGAAUACUUUGCAACCCACCAGUGCUUUCUGUCUUCUUCCUCCUUAUAUAUAUUGGUUUGGGAUGUAAGUAAAAAAAAUGAAUACGCCCAACUACUUCAACCAUGGUUUGAAAAUUUAGUUGCUCGAGUAAAAUUUUUUUAUAUUAUUGUUGUUGGUACAAAAUUAGAUCUUCUUGAAAGUGAUAACAUAGAUAACGCUUGUAAUCAAAUGAAAACUGAAAUUGAAACGCUUAUAGAAACUAUUCCUGCUAUUCGCAAUUUAAAAUAUAGUGAUAAAUAUUUUUCUAGUAGAUUGAAAAUUUGCUUUGUUUCUCUGAACACAAAGUUUCCUAGUUAUUCUAAAGACAUCGAGAAACUUAAAGCAGAGAUCUAUGAUUUGGCUGGAAAUAUGACAUAUGAUGGGGAAAAAAAUGGGGAGAAAAUAAUGGGUAAAAUGUUUCCACAAAGUUAUACAAAAUUGGAAGAAAAAAUAAAUGAAAUCAAAAAUCAGAAAGUAAAAAAUUGUGGAAUUCCAAUAAUUAGUCAAGAAGAAUUCAUUUCAAUGGGAAAGUCAUUAAAAUGUGAUAAUGAUGUAUUUCAAGAUGAUGACUUUGAACCAGCAACUAAGUUUCUGAUGAACACAGGCACUAUUCUUUAUUUUGAUGGUGCAAAUAAAGGUUUAAGAGAUUGCGUUUUUAUUAAUCCAUCUUGGGUUUGCAAAUUGAUGUCAAAUUUUAUUACUGUUGAUGCUGUUCAUACAUUUGUUAAAAAUGGUAUCUUAGAACAAGAUAAAAUUCCAUUGAUUUUAAAAGAAGAGUUGGGUCAUCAAAAUCCUGAUUUAAUAAAGAUAUGUAUAAGUUUAUUAUCACGAUUCCAAAUUGCUUGUAAGAUUGAUGAUCAUAGAGUUCUUAUUCCACCGAAACUUCCAAGUUACGAUCCAAAACAUGCGUUGAUUAAUCAAAGUAGUCUACUCACUCGUUAUUAUUUCUUUAGCUGUAUACCUGAUGGUUUUUGGGCUCGAUUUAUUACUCGUUUUUUAUCAAUGACUAAAGAAAUGUUAUCACCAAAACCAAUUAAUGAAACCAAGCCCAAAUUUUCUUUAAUUGGGAACAAUUUACCAAAAGAUGAGCUAGAUGCUGUAAUGUCUUAUUUUGAAAAUGAGAAACCUCCUAAAAUAAAUGAAACAAACUCGUCAAACAUUUUAUAUGUUAUAACCUCUCCCAAAACAAACUUUACUUUGAAUCAAAUUCAUUUAUCUCAACAACUAUCUAGAAAUAUAGAGCCAUCAAUUAACAACCCCUCUGUCUUUAAUAAUGUUGAUAAUUUAGUAUGUUGUCUUCCAAUAAAGUCUUUUCCAAAUAACUCUGAAACAUCAAAUGAAUCUAAAAUUAGCAAUUCAAGUAAUUUAUCAAGCAAUACUGUUUCACCUGAGAGUAUUUUUAACCCUGAUGCAAAAGCUCUGUAUAAAAAUUCUAGCAGCUGUAACAAUAGUAUAAACAAAGAAAUUAAUAGCGAUUGUAAUAAAAAAGUUCCAAAUAAUUCACACGAUGAAUGUCUAACUUUGAUAUCAUCCACUGAUGUUGUAGUUGUAAAAAAUGAAUUUAAUUCAGAACUUCCUGGUAAUGAUGAAAAUGAUAACAAUCAACGAAAUAAUGAUAGUGAAAAUUAUCAAACAGAUUGCAUGAUAGGUAAAUAUGAUUUAGACCAAUUCUAUAAUAAAGAUAACAGUGUUUCUAAUAAUCAUCGUGAUGUUGAUAAUGGUGUUAAUAAUUUUAAUAAUUCCACCACAAAUAGUGUUCAUAGUGAUUUUUAUAAUAGAAUCAAUAAUAACUUUCUAAAUUAUUUUGAUAAUGGCUCAAGUUAUGAUUUAAAUAAUGACAUCAAUAACUGUGUUAACAAUUGUAUUAAUUAUGACAUCAAUGCUGAUCAUAAAGAUUUUAAUAAUGGCAUUUAUAAUGAUGUCAUCAAUAAUGACAUUUAUAAUGAUGUUAUCAAUAAUGACAUUUAUAAUGAUGUUAUUAAUAAUGACAUUUAUAAUGAUGUCAUCAAUAAUGACAUUUGUAAUGAUGUCAUCAAUAAUAAUGACAUUUAUAAUGACUUCAAUAAUGGUAUCAAUAAUAAUAUCAACAGCGUUUAUAAUGAUUUAAAUAACGACAUCAAAAGUUCAAUUAAUGGUAUUAAUUAUAACAUCAAUAAUGAUGUUUAUAAUAUCAAUAGUGACAUAAAUAAUGAUAAUAAUAUCGACAUAAAUAAUUCCCAAAAUAGUUGUGCUUUUAAUGGAUUAAACUCUGGCAUCAAAAAGGGCAUUAAUUAUAAUUUUGAUAAUGGCAAUAAUGAUGUUAAUGCAAUGAUUAAGUCUCUUCCUACAGGAAAUAAUGAAAAUUGUUUUACUCAUGUCAGUGAAUAUAAUAAUUUUGUACAGCAUCAUAGUUAUUAUAUAAAUGUAUUAAAAGAGCUUCAAGGUUGUGUAAUCCAAACGUUUGAAGCAAAUUCGAAUGAGAGAAUUUCAAGUGAUAGCAUUGUAAAUAAAGGAUUAAAUUCAGUUGUUCCAGAAAAUGAAAUACCUGAAAAUAAAACAAAAACCAUCUGUCUUACUGAUUCCAAAUCAGAUUAUAUAAUUGAUCAGAACAUGACAAACAAUUAUGAAAUUAGUUUUGAACAAUAUUGUGAAAAAUGUUGUGAUCCUUUAACUAUUGUAAAUGAGCUAAUCAAGGAUAAUUCUAGUAACUUUAGCGACUGUAAUUGUAGUGAUGGUAAUUGCAGUGAUGAUGAGAUUUCAAAUCAAACUAAUUAUAACAUAAAUUCUGAUUCUAAACUUGUCUCUAUUUCAUUAGAUGCUCAUGUUAAUGCUCAUGUAGAUGAUAUUGUUUCCAAAAAUGAUGACUUCGAAAAUACUGUAAUUGAUGACUAUAUGCAAAUAAUAACUGAAACGGAUAAUUUUGUCAACUUUAAUGCUAGUAUGCAAACUGUUUCAAAUUUAGACUAUAAAGAUUAUACUUCUGCGAAUGAGGAAAUAAAAGAGGAAAAUGAUGAAAUUGAAUCUCAGCUUAUAAAUGAACUGUCCAUUAAUGAUGAAGAUUAUGAAGAACAUUUUAAUGAUUACGGAGAAUUAGCUUAUCUGUUAGACAAGGGUUAUUUAAGUUGCUGGAAUCAUGGAGUCAUAUUUAAUCAUCCACAAUUGAGUUUUUCUGUACAACAGCUACCUAUAUUGUAUAAAGCAGAUAGAAAAACAAUUGAAAUAUGUGUAACUAAAUCUUCCUUAGGCUAUCGUGUUCUCAGCUAUGUUGUUGAUCAUAUUAGAACACUUUUAGAUGAAUGGUUUGAAGGUUUGUUGAUGUCCCACAAGGAACCUCAUGUAGUUUCUUCCCUUGCAUGUCCUGUAUGUGUGAGCUUGGGCAUAAAUCCGCCUCAUUUGUUUAACAUAACUAAUGCCUUUCAAAAACUGUAUCAAAAUUCAGAAGAUAAUACUUGUGCUGUGUUUUGCAAACAAAAACAUGUACCAAGGACAAUAAAUAUAACAGAAUUUUGUCCGGAUCUUACAUUUCAAGAUUUACCGAAAACAAUGAAAUUUAAUCCCAAUGAUAUUCAAUGUGAACAAAAUGAAAAAUGCAAACUGGGACAAGGAGCAUUUGGAAAAGUGUAUAGUGGCUUAUGUAAGAACAAAAUUAGAGCUGCAAUCAAAUUUUAUAACUUCAAUAUGAACAAUUCAGAUGAACUUUCAUCAUCAUUGAAUCAAUUUUACGAAAUUCGACGAGAAAUUGUAAUGCUCAGUAAAUUACGUCAUCAUCCUUAUAUUGUUCAAUUUUUAGGUUUCUUACUGAAGCCAGAAUUGUGUGCUGUGAUGGAAUGUGCUAGUCAUGGUGCUUUAUCAUCUGUCAUUUAUGAUAAAUCCAAAACCAAAGUUAUCCCCAGAAUUGUUAAGUUUCGAAUUUGCCAGCAAAUUGCAAGUGCUCUAGCUUUUAUGCAUAAAAAAUGUAUUAUUCAUCGCGAUAUAAAAUCAGAUAAUAUUUUAUUAUUUUCGCUUAAUCACGAAGCAAAAAUUAAUAUCAAGUUAACUGAUUUUGGAACAGCGAACAUCAUGAGUCCAAGUGGUUUAAAAACAUUUUUUGGUACUAAAGUUUAUGCUGCUCCAGAAAUGAUUUCACACAGAUUAUUUUGGGAUGAAUACACAUCUAGUGUUGAUAUAUAUUCGUUUGGUAUGGUUAUUUAUGAGUUGAUUGCAUUUAAAAAACCCUUUUAUCAUGUUAAAGAAUUGGAAAUAGAUAAUGAAGUCAAAAACGGGUAUCGACCAAAGUUUUAUAAUGUUGCUGAUGCAUUUUACGGGUUGAGUAAUUUAACAAAGUUGAUGAUAACCAUGUGGAAUCAAGAACCUUCCAAAAGACCUCAUGCUAAUGAUAUUCUUAAUACAUUGUCUCCAACUUUUCAAUUAGUUUUUGGUUAUAAAAUGUUAGCUUCUGCAGAAAACCCACGCAAUAUGUGUUAUGUUAACAGUAGCAAGGAACUUUGGAUAACAUGUGAUGACAAGGAAGAUUAGUUUUAUGUUUGGUCAGUACUUGAGUAUACAACUGUAUCCAUAUUUUUUAAUCAUAAGCAGGAACAGAGUUCUUAAAAAUAACUUCAUUUGACGAUGUGACAGACAAUCUUAACUUGAUGGAACAUGGCAGACUUUUUGCAAUGGAUUGUUAAAAUCAGCAUAACAAUCUAUUAUCGUGAUCAAUAUGGAAAGUUUUAAAACUGUCAAAAAAAUUGAAAUAAAUGCUACAUUGUUUGGUUUGGAGAGUUUCAAUAUGUCAUCCAUCACCACUAUCGGUGAUAAGAAUGUAUGUGUUGUG
rnacentral:misc_RNA from 1 species